rnacentral:rRNA from 1 species
ACUCCUACGGGAGGCAGCAGUGAGGAAUAUUGGUCAAUGGGCGAGAGCCUGAACCAGCCAAGUCGCGUGAGGGAAGACUGCCCUAUGGGUUGUAAACCUCUUUAGUAUGGGAGCAAAAAGCGUCACGUGUGAUGUAUUGAG